UCAGCCUAUCAGGAGGGGCCCUGGUGGGAGGGCCUGUUCAGGCAUGCAGCUGUGCACCGGCUCCGCUCUGCCGGUCCAGGUGGGCCCCAGGGCUUGGCUGGCUUGGCUCAGGCUGCAACCAGGUCUCCCAGCCCGCCACGGCCUGUUGCUGGCUGCUGCUGCUGCUGUCCGGGAGGGCGGCUGUGUUCUUUGGGAACUUCCUAAAUGAAAAGGAAGCAGCAGCAACAGGUGUGUCUGUGGACAUGUAGACUAGCAAAGGCAAGUUUUAUAUACAAAGCAAAUCACAGAUCUUGAGGGUACCAUUAGAUGUGUUCAGAAGAAAGACACAACUGGUCUGAAUCAAGGCCGGCAGCUUCCUGACGCUGUUGGUUUCAAGCAGGAGCCUAAAGAGAUGUCUUUCUAUGGUCUGUUGGCCAUUUCAGAACUUGGGCAGUGAAAUGAUCAAUUCAUCAGAAAGAAAUAGCUUGAAGCAACCCCUCCUGCCCUGGUGAGCGGCUGUGAGCCUGGCAAGCUGUGGUGGCCCAGCAUAGGAGCCACGAGUGUUUUCUGAGACCCGCACCACACUGGGACCUGGAGGGCCGGGAAACCAAGAAACCUGUUUUGUUUUAUUGAAUGUCAAUAUACAUGAAAGUAUGGACAGCUAUUUUGAAGAAAAUGAGACACUCUACAAAGGCCAUUAGUGACUUCCCUAUUGUCUGGUUUUGAAGACCUAAAACACCUUCCUCAUUCAGUUCAGAUCAUUUUUUUUACUAUGCUGUUUUGUAUGAAUUCUCUCUAUGUGAAGACAUGGACAACUAUUUGGAAGAAAACAAGAGACAAUAUGAUAGUAAAGAUCUCAGGUCAUCUAGCUUUGAAAUUUAUAUCUCUUCCUUUGCUUUCUUAUGUCCUAUUUUGUUCUGUUUUGUUGUGUUUAAUUUUACCCCCUUUAAAAUAAAAAUCAAAAAAAGACACA